rnacentral:rRNA from 1 species
UACAGAGGAUGCAAGCGUUAUCCGGAAUGAUUGGGCGUAAAGCGUCUGUAGGUGGCUUUUUAAGUCCGCCGUCAAAUCCCAGGGCUCAACUCUGGACAGGCGGUGGAAACUACCAAGCUGGAGUACGGUAGGGGCAGAGGGAAUUUCCGGUGGAGCGGUGAAAUGCGUAGAUAUCGGAAGGAACACCGGUGGCGAAGGCGGGUCUCUGGGCCGAUACUGACGCUGAGGAGCGAAAGCGUGGGGAGCGAACAGG